rnacentral:rRNA from 1 species
UACGUAGGGUGCAAGCGUUGUCCGGAAUUAUUGGGCGUAAAGAGCUCGUAGGCGGUUUGUCGCGUCGGCUGUGAAAACUGGAGGCUUAACCUUCAGCGUGCAGUCGAUACGGGCAGACUUGAGUUCGGUAGGGGAGACUGGAAUUCCUGGUGUAGCGGUGAAAUGCGCAGAUAUCAGGAAGAACACCCGUGGCGAAAGCGGCUCUCUGGAACGGUACUGACGCUGAGACGCGAAAGCGUGGGGAGCGAACAGG